rnacentral:rRNA from 1 species
UACGUAGGCAGCAAACGUUGUUCGGAAUUACUGGGCGUAAAGAGUGUGUAGGCGGUUUCGUAAGUUUGGUGUGAAAUCUCCCGGCUUAACUGGGAGGGUGCGCCGAAAACUGCGAGGCUUGAGUACUGGAGAGGAGAGCGGAAUUCCUGGUGUAGCGGUGAAAUGCGCAGAUAUCAGGAGGAACACCAGCGGCGAAGGCGGUGCUCUGGGCCGGAACUGACGCUGAGGAGCGAAAGCGUGGGGAGCGAACAGG